AUUGAACGCUGGCGGCAGGCUUAACACAUGCAAGUCGAGCGGGGACUUCGGUCCUAGCGGCGAACGGGUGAGGAAUGCUUGGGAAUCCGCCCAGUAGCGGGGGAUAACGUUUCGAAAGGAACGCUAAUACCGCAUACGCCCUACGGGGGAAAGGGGGGGAUCUUCGGACCUCUCACUAUUGGAUGAGCCCAAGUCGGAUUAGCUAGUUGGUGAGGUAAAGGCUCACCAAGGCGACGAUCCGUAGCUGGUCUGAGAGGAUGAUCAGCCACACUGGAACUGCGACACGGACGAGGCGCCUACGGGAGGCAGGAGUGGGGAAUAGUGGACAAUGGUCGAAAGCCUGAUCCAGCCAUGCCGCGUGUGUGAAGAAGGCCUUCGGGUUGUAAAGCACUUUAAGCGAGGAGGAAUGGCUCCGGGUUAAUACCCUUGAGCAUAGACGUUACUCGCAGAAUAAGCACCGGCUAACUCUGUGCCAGCCGCCGCGGUAA
rnacentral:rRNA from 1 species